AAAAGCCACAAGGAAUGGGCAUGUAAGCAUGAAGCUACAUGGAAGUCAUUUCAGUGACAUCAGCAAUUAUCUGCAGAUUAUGAUGAAUUUAGAUGAAUGCCUUUUUCAUGAAGUGUAAUUGUUCACUCUUACAGCUUCCACAUUUAGUUUUCUCAUUUCAUCUAAGAAAUGUGAAUGCUAAAAUGUUUCCUUUCAUAUGAUUAUCGCUUUGUCAGUUCUGUUUGAAGAAAGGAAAGAUCUCAUGAAACAAAUAAGUGGUAAAACUACUUCAUAAAAAGAACUUUCAUGAACCAGAAUGCAGCUAUACAGAUAUAAUGUUAACAAAUGCUGGAAAAAAGAAUCAUCCACAACAAAGGUGCUACAUAAAAAUGAGGGAUUAAAAGG